rnacentral:rRNA from 1 species
AUUGAACGCUGGCGGCAGGCCUAACACAUGCAAGUCGAGCGGAUGAAGGGUGCUUGCUCCUGGUUUCAGCGGCGGACGGGUGAGUAAUGCCUAGGAAUCUGCCUGGUAGUGGGGGAUAACGUCCGGAAACGGGCGCUAAUACCGCAUACGUCCUGAUGGUGAAAGUGGGGGAUCUUCGCACCUCACGCUCUCAGAUGAGCCUAGGUCGGAUUAGCUAGUUGGUGGGGUAAAGGCCUACCAAGGCGACGAUCCGUAACUGGUCUGAGAGGAUGAUCAGUCACAUUGGAACUGAGACACGGUCCAGACUCCUACGGGAGGCAGCAGUAGGGAAUCUUGGACAAUGGGCGAAAGCCUGAUCCAGCAAUGCCGCGUGUGUGAAGAAGGUCUUCGGAUUGUAAAGCACUGUUAGUUGGGAGGAAGGGCAGUAAGUUAAUCCCUUGCUGUUUUGACGUUACCAACAGAAUAAGCCCCGGCUAACUUCGUG